AACGAACGCUGGCGGCAUGCCUAACACAUGCAAGUCGAACGAAGCCUUCGGGCUUAGUGGCGCACGGGUGCGUAACGCGUGGGAAUCUGCCCCUUGCUUCGGAAUACCAGUUAGAAAUGACUGCUAAUACCGGAUGAAGUCUUCGGACCAAAGAUUUAUCGGCAAGGGAUGAGCCCGCGUAGGAUUCGGUAGUUGGUGGGGUAAAGGCCUACCAAGCCGACGAUGCUUAGCUGGUCUGAGAGGAUGAUCAGCCACACUGGGACUGAGACACGGCCCAGAAUCCUACGGGAGGCAGGAGUGGAGAAUAUUAGGCGAUGGACGCAAGUCUGAUCCAGCAGUGCCGGGUGAGUGAUGAAGGGCUUAGGGUUGUAAAGCUCUUUUACCAGGGAUGAUAGUGACGGUACCUGGAGAAUAAGCUCCGGCUAACUCCGUG
rnacentral:rRNA from 1 species